CAGGCGGUGUUCUAGGCACCUGGGGUCGGAGCCAGGCGGGAGGAGGCGCAUGGUGAAUAAGACAGACAAGGUACCAGAGAAUUCUAGGCGGUGACAAGUGUGAGGAUGAAAAUAAGUACCACAAAGUGAAAGACGUGACGGUGGCGCCUCCAUGAUCAGAGAAGAUUUCUCUGAGCAGGUGGCCCUGAAGCCGAAGCCUGAAUAUUGAAAGGGAAGCAUCCAUCAGGAGGAAGAGACUCCAGGUGGAGGGAACAGCUGCUGCAGGGCCUUGAGGCUGGAACAAACAGGCGUGCGGGUUGUAGAACUGGCCGCCUGGAGAGAAGCGUGUUUUGAGAGAGCAAGAGCAGAAGUGGAGGCCACAUGAGGCCCAGGCCGAUGAGGGGUCCAGGCUUUAACAUUUCAGCAGGAGUUACAAGCCCAUCAGGAAGAAACCAAGGCAUUAAGAAGGUGCAUUUCGGAAUCUCAUGGAGCCAGCUGCCAGCACAGGUGAUGCAUUCACAUAGGAAAUUUUCCCAUUCUUUUCCUCAUCUGCAGACACCCACUCCCCAUGCUAUA